GUGAGACACAGAGUAGGAGUACGCUUCUUUCUCAUUCUCAAAAGGCAGCCUCAGUGCCUCACACACUCACAGCCUCACACACCAGUAAUCCUAAUUUUUUCUUUCUCCCCUAACCUCUACUCCUCUGCGCCUCUGCGACAGCCAUCAAUCUCCAUCGCCAUCGCCAUCCUUCUUCUCAACUUCAGUUGACCUCCACCAUUCAAUCCAGUCCAAACUUCAGGAGUAAUCAAUUCAAAUAUUACUAGGUCUUGGACCCUAACUUGCUUCUUCAACUUGAAUAGUUCUUAUUCAUCUCAUCUCUUCUUAUAAGGUUUGUCUUUUACUUCCCAAAUUUUAAUCUGCUUCAUUUGAUUUGAUUUGAAAACAAAUUUAGAUUUAUUGUUCUCAUUUUGAUAUGAAAUCUAUUGAUUGAAAUCUUGAAUAGGUGUUUAAAUUUAGAUUUAUUGUCGUAUUUAUAAUGAAUGAAAAUCAAUCAUAAUGUACGUCCAAAUCAGUGACACAACCACAAUAUGAUUUUGUUAUGGAGUCAAAAAAAUACAUUGAAUGUAAAUGAAGAAGGGUUUGUUAAUGAUGAUGGUAUUCCAAGUUCUUGCACAAAAGAUAAGGGAAGGAAAACAACCUCUAAGGCAUGGAAUUAUUUUGUAAGAGAAGAAGUAAAUGGUGUGAUUAGAGCUGUUUGUAAGAAUUGUGGUGUUAGUCUAGUAACUGGUGGUAGUAGUGAAACUUCUCAUCUCUUGAAACACGCAAAGAAAGUUUGAUCAGGAAAACAUUUGAAUCUUGCACGUGGUCAAACAACUUUAAGAGUUAAGAAGGAAUGUGAUGGGUCAAGUUCUCUGGAAUUUAGUGGUAAAAUCAAACUUAAAAGUUCGACCAAGAUUUUUCGAGAAGGGAAUUAGUUUCCAUGGUUAUUAUGCACGAGUAUCCAUUGUCUAUGGUGGAUCAUAUUGGGUUUAGGAGGUUUGUUGAAAGCCUUAAUUGCAAUUUUAAGAUGAUUUCUAGGUCCACAUUAAAGCGAGAUAUCAUGAAGUUGUUUAAAGAAGAAAAACUUUCUCUACGUAAAUUGCUCGAGCAUAAUGAAAGUAGAAUUGCAAUCACUACUGAUAUGUGGACUGCAACCAACCAGAAGAAGGGUUACAUGGUCAUAACUUUGCAUUUUAUUGAUAAACAAUGGGUCUUACGAAAUCGCACCUUAAGGUUUUGCUAUGUGCCUUGUCCUCACACCGGAGGUGUUAUUGGAAAGGUAAUGAUGGAUUGUUUGUCUCAAUAUUGUUAAAAAUAAAAUAUCUGCUGUUGUUGUUGAUAAUGCCACUACUAAUGAUGCAAUGAUGAAGAUUUUAGUGGAUAAGUUUGAUAAAAGGUCUUUGAUGCUUGAGGGUGAUCUUUUGCAUUUACGUUGUAGUGCUCACAUAUUGAACCUAAUAGUUCAAGAUGGAUUAGGGGUUAUUAGUUCUGCAAUUGAAAAAGUUCGUGAUUGUGUGUCUUUUUGGAUGUCAACUCCAAAAAGAAUUGAAAAUUUUGAGGAGGCUUGUCGUUUUUUGGACUUAGUUAACAUUAAAAGGCCUAGUCUUGAUUGUAAAACAAGAUGGAAUUCAACCUACUUGAUGCUUAAAAGUGUUUUGCCAUUUAAAGAUGUGUUUUCAAGGGUAAAGCGAUUGAAUAAAAAGAUGAAUUUUGUUGUUCCUAGUGAUAAGGAUUGGGAAUUAGCUUAGCUUGUUUGUGAUAAGUUAGAAAUUUUUUACAGUACAACUAAUGUUUUUUCUGGAAGAAACUUUAUCACUUUCAACCUUUUUUUUCGAAGGGUUUGUGAGAUUAUGCUUGCUAUAGGUAGGUGGUUACAAAGUGAUGUUGAAAUUAUUAGAUUGAUGACAGAAAAUAUGCUUGAAAAUUUUGACAAGUAUUGGGAUCAUAUGUGUGAACUUUUGGCUAUUGCUACUAUCUUAGACCCGAGAAAUAAAAUGGAUUGUGUGGAGUUUUAUUUUAGAAAGUUUUUGGAUGUUAAUGAGGUUGAUAUGCAAUUAGAAAGAGUUCGUAGGUGACUUGAUAAUUUGGUUGUAGGAGUAUCAAAGGAAAAGUGAUAUUGUGAAAAAUGUGAAUGAUGUUGGACAAAGUAGGAAACGACCUGCACCAAGUUCUAUAGACGGUGCACAAAAUGAAUUUGCUCAAUCUAAAAGAACUAAGGUUAGAAAGGUGAAUAGGUGUGAAUUGGAUUUUUAUUUAGAGGAAGAACCAUUAUCGGAUGAUGAGGAUUUGGAUGUCCUUUAUUGGUAGAAAGUAAAUACGAAGUAUCCGACUUUGCAAAAGAUUGCGAAAGAUAUUCUUGCCAUUCCUGUUUCUUCCGUUGCUUCAGAAAGUGCUUUUAGUACCGGAGGAAGUGUUAUUAGCCCUCAUCGUUCAAGACUUCAUUCACAAACUGUGGAAGCAUUAAUGUGUUUACAAAAUUGGAUGAUGGAAGACAUAAAAGGUUCUUCGGAAGAUGCUUAUGCUUGCUCUACAGUAAUUGAUGAUUUGGAUGUUGAUGAAGAAAAACUAAUAGAUGCGAUUCAACUAGAUCUUGAUGAAGUUGAAGAUGAUUGAUCAAAAUUGAUUGUAAUUUGUAAUGUUAUGGAAUAUAAACUAUGUUUCUCAUGUAGUCUUUUAUAUUUGAUUUUUAAUUAUGUAUUUAGACAAGUAUUUUUACGUUUUAGUAAUUAUUUUGUAUUUGAAUUUUAUGAACUCAAACAAGUGUUUGUAAUACGAUAAUAAGUCGCUUACAAAAAUACAAAAAGACUCGCAAAAGGUUCAAUUUUGACAAAUCAAAGAGGCUUUGUAUUAGACCCAUUAAGGACCCUAGACCUGUCAGAUCCGUAGGGUUCGGGUCUAGGUCUGAAAAUUUUGGACCCUUAGGGUCCGUAUCCGGGUCAAGAUCCAUAAAAAUAAAAGGGUCCGGGUCCGGGUCUGGCCAGACCCGCUCCAGACUCGCCCCUUGACCAUCCUUACCUACAACUUGUAUCAAGUUUUCCGGUAACGGUCUUCAUCUUCAAGUUCCUUUUAGUCAUAUUUGUGUAAUUUUUUGUUUUUGCCAUCAACAAAGGG